GCAAGUCGAGCGGUCCUUCGGGACAGCGGCGGACGGGUUAGUAACGCGUGGGAACGUGCCCUUUAAUACGGAUUAGCCAUUGGAAACGAUGAUUAAUACCGUAUACGCCCUUUGGGGGAAAGAUUUAUCGCUAAAGGAUCGGCCCGCGUUAGAUUAGGUAGUUGGUGGGGUAAUGGCCUACCAAGCCUACGAUCUAUAGCUGGUUUGAGAGGAUGAUCAGCAACACUGGGACUGAGACACGGCCCAGACUCCUACGGGAGGCAGCAGUGGGGAAUCUUGGACAAUGGGCGCAAGCCUGAUCCAGCCAUGCCGCGUGAGCGAUGAAGGCCUUAGGGUUGUAAAGCUCUUUCGCCAGGGAAGAUAAUGACGGUACCUGGUAAAGAAACCCCGGCUAACUCCGUGCCAGCAGCCGCGGUAAUACGGAGGGGGUUAGCGUUGUUCGGAAUUACUGGGCGUAAAGCGCACGUAGGCGGAUUAGUCAGUCAGGGGUGAAAUCCCGAGGCUCAACCUCGGAACUGCCUUUGAUACUGCUAGUCUAGAGUUCGAGAGAGGUGAGUGGAAUUCCGAGUGUAGAGGUGAAAUUCGUAGAUAUUCGGAGGAACACCAGUGGCGAAGGCGGCUCACUGGCUCGAUACUGACGCUG
rnacentral:rRNA from 1 species